AAUAGAUACCCUGGUAGUCCACGCCGUAAACGAUGUCGACUUGGAGGUUGUGCCCUUGAGGCGUGGCUUCCGGAGCUAACGCGUUAAGUCGACCGCCUGGGGAGUACGGCCGCAAGGUUAAAACUCAAAUGAAUUGACGGGGGCCCGCACAAGCGGUGGAGCAUGUGGUUUAAUUCGAUGCAACGCGAAGAACCUUACCUACUCUUGACAUCCAGAGAACUUAGCAGAGAUGCUUUGGUGCCUUCGGGAACUCUGAGACAGGUGCUGCAUGGCUGUCGUCAGCUCGUGUUGUGAAAUGUUGGGUUAAGUCCCGCAACGAGCGCAACCCUUAUCCUUUGUUGCCAGCGGUUCGGCCGGGAACUCAAAGGAGACUGCCAGUGAUAAACUGGAGGAAGGUGGGGAUGACGUCAAGUCAUCAUGGCCCUUACGAGUAGGGCUACACACGUGCUACAAUGGCAUAUACAAAGAGAAGCGACCUCGCGAGAGCAAGCGGACCUCAUAAAGUAUGUCGUAGUCCGGA
rnacentral:rRNA from 1 species